GUGCAGCAGGCGAGAAACCUCUGCAAUAGGCGAAAGCUUGACAGGGUUACUCUGAGUGAUGUCCGCUAAGGGCAUCUUUUGGCACCUCUAAAAAUGGUGCAGAAUAAGGGGUGGGCAAGUCUGGUGUCAGCCGCCGCGGUAAUACCAGCACCCCGAGUGGUCGGGACGAUUAUUGGGCCUAAAGCAUCCGUAGCUUGUCCUGCAAGUCCUCCGUUAAAUCCACCUGCUCAACAGAUGGGCUGCGGGGGAUACUACAGGGCUAGGAGGCGGGAGAGGCAAACGGUACUCAGUGGGUAGGGGUAAAAUCCACUGAUCCACUGAAGACCACCAGUGGCGAAGGCGGUUUGCCAGAACGCGCUCGACGGUGAGGGAUGAAAGCUGGGGGAGCAAACCGGAUUAGAUACCCCUGUAGUCC
rnacentral:rRNA from 1 species